rnacentral:pre_miRNA from 1 species
GGAAGUUAAGAAACUGUUUCUUAACUUUUAACUAAAAAAGCUAAGAACCGGUUCUUAGCUUUUUUAGUUAAAAGUUAAGAAACAGUUUUUUAACUUCC